GUGGUUGUAGCCUAGUGGUAGAGCGCAUGCCUAGCAUGCAUGAGGCACUGGGUUCAGUUCUCAGCAUCACA
rfam:Ictidomys tridecemlineatus contig007573, whole genome shotgun sequence.